UGGUUUUUGUGAUCACAUUAAUCAUUGCUUCGCUGUGAGGUUCGACAACAAUGAAGAAAGUUGUCUUGAAAUUGGAUGUACAUGAUGGCAAAGAUAAACAGAAAGCCAUGAAAGCUGUUUCAGGUCUCUCGGGUACCCACUUAAAAACA